UGAAAUGCGAUAAGUAAUGUGAAUUGCAGAAUCUCGUGAAUCAUUGAAUCUUUGAACGCACAUUGCGCCCUAUGGUAUUCCGUAGGGCAUGCCUGUCUGAGCGUUAGCUCACACCCCUCAAACUACUUUAUUGUUGGUUUGGAUGACUUUGGGAAAGCAUUAUUUUUCUUAUGCCUCUCAGAAAUCUAUAGGCGGUACGGUUCCAACAAAACCAGAACGUAGUAAUUAAUUUUUAUAUCGUUCGUUUAUAUUUUGGAGGAGCUGUUGGCUUGCCUUUUGAACCCACAUAUUCAUUCUUAGGAAUAACCUCAGAUCAGGUAGGGAUACCCGCUGAACUUAA
rnacentral:misc_RNA from 1 species